rnacentral:misc_RNA from 1 species
GAAAUGCGAUAAGUAAUGUGAAUUGCAGAAUUCAGUGAAUCAUCGAAUCUUUGAACGCACAUUGCGCCCGCCAGUAUUCUGGCGGGCAUGCCUGUUCGAGCGUCAUUUCAACCAUCAAGCCCCGCGCUUGUGUUGGGGACCUGCGGCUGCCGCAGGCCCUGAAAACCAGUGGCGGGCUCGCUGUCACACCGAGCGUAGUAGCAAUCACCUCGCUCAGGGCGUGCUGCGGGUUCCGGCCGUUAAACAGCCUUACAAAACCCAAGGUUGACCUCGGAUCAGGUAGGAAGACCCGCUGAACUUAAGC